CCCUGGUUAGCUCAGUUGGAAGGGCGGCUCUACUUGUAAUGGAGAGGUCCCGGGUUCGAUACCCGGACUAGGUG
rnacentral:tRNA from 1 species